rnacentral:rRNA from 1 species
UGAGGAAUAUUGGUCAAUGGGCGAGAGCCUGAACCAGCCAAGUAGCGUGCAGGACGACGGCCCUAUGGGUUGUAAACUGCUUUUAUGUGGGGAUAAAGUGCGUGACGUGUCAUGCAUUGCAGGUACCACAUGAAUAAGGACCGGCUAAUUCCGUGCCAGCAGCCGCGGUAAUACGGAAGGUCCGGGCGUUAUCCGGAUUUAUUGGGUUUAAAGGGAGCGUAGGCUGUCUAUUAAGCGUGUUGUGAAAUAUACCGGCUCAACCGGUGGCUUGCAGCGCGAACUGGUCGACUUGAGUAUGCAGGAAGUAGGCGGAAUUCAUGUGUAGCGGUGAAAUGCUUAGAUAUCAUGACGAACUCCGAUUGCGCAGGCAGCUUACUGUAGCAUAACUGACGCUGAUGCUCGAAAGUGCGGGUAUCAAACAGG